AUUGAACGCUGGCGGCAGGCCUAACACAUGCAAGUCGAGCGGAUGAAGGGAGCUUGCUCCUGGAUUCAGCGGCGGACGGGUGAGUAAUGCCUAGGAAUCUGCCUGGUAGUGGGGGAUAACGUCCGGAAACGGGCGCUAAUACCGCAUACGUCCUGAGGGAGAAAGUGGGGGAUCUUCGGACCUCACGCUAUCAGAUGAUCCUAGGUCGGAUUAGCUAGUUGGUGGGGUAAGGGCCUACCAAGGCGACGAUCCGUAACUGGUCUGAGAGGAUGAUCAGUCACACUGGAACUGAGACACGGUCCAGACUCCUACGGGAGGCAGCAGUGGGGAAUAUUGGACAAUGGGCGAAAGCCUGAUCCAGCCAUGCCGCGUGUGUGAAGAAGGUCUUCGGAUUGUAAAGCACUUUAAGUUGGGAGGAAGGGCAGUAAGUUAAUACCUUGCUGUUUUGACGUUACCAACAGAAUAAGCACCGGCUAACUUCGUG
rnacentral:rRNA from 1 species